rnacentral:lncRNA from 1 species
UGAAGUGUUAAUUGACAUCCAAAGCAAUCCAAUGAAUCCAAGAUUGAAAGUAAGUGUUGUGGAACUCUAAAAACCUUAAGAAAGAGGUGAAAAUCGCCUAUGGAGGCUGCUGGAGACGAGAAUGAUAAAGUGAAACCCUAAAGAUGGGUUUUAAACUAAAAAAUUCGUAACUGCCAGAACACGCGGUAGGCGGCCGCCUAGAAGUAGGCGGCCGCCUAGAAGUAGGCGGUGGCCUAGAAGUAGGCGGUGGCCGCAAGAGUAGGCGGCCGCCUACCCGGAGGCGGUGGCCUAGUCUGGCAGCGGCAUCUGCUUCUUUAUCCAGAAAUGCUCAAAGCUUCACGAAAGACUUCCCAAACUCCGGAAUCCUGCACCCACAAGAAAAAGCAGCAAACAGCACUCGGACAAGAAUAACACGGCACGAAAAAGCACAAAGCAU